rnacentral:tRNA from 1 species
GGACUAUAGCUCAGUGACAGAGCGCUUGCCUCGCAGGUAUGAGGCCCUGGGUUCAAUCCUCAGCACCA